rnacentral:rRNA from 1 species
GACGUAGGGCGCGAGCGUUGUCCGGAUUUAUUGGGCGUAAAGAGCUCGUAGGCGGCUUGUCGCGUCGACUGUGAAAUCCCGCGGCUCAACUGCGGGUCUGCAGUCGAUACGGGCAGGCUAGAGUUCGGUAGGGGAGACUGGAAUUCCUGGUGUAGCGGUGAAAUGCGCAGAUAUCAGGAGGAACACCGGUGGCGAAGGCGGUUCUCUGGGAAUGUACUGACGCUGAGGAGCGAAAGUGUGGGGAGCGAACAGG